rnacentral:misc_RNA from 1 species
GCAGGAAACUGGAUUGAUAUACGGUAACAAGAACAAAGCUAAAAGAGCUGAAGAAUAGAGCUUCGCGAGAAUUCCAUGCCGUUCUGUAAGUUUAAUGAAUGCUCAGGGAAUUGUCUGCUCAUUGGCGUAUAGGGACCUUAUAUACUUAUACUUCUGAACUCAUUUUCUUUAUAGGGCCAAAUAAUUAUCUAUACCUAGAAAAGGAAAUCAUGUAAGCUUUAAGUUUUUGUGGAUAUAAUGUAGCAUGUUUUUUGUUUUCAAGGUGAGGUUCUUGAAUAGCAUUUACUGGUUUAUCAGCAUGAUGUUUUAUUUCCUUUUAUCUUUGCUCUACAUGAACAUUUUUGUUAAUUGUUCAAAA